CCCUUAGAUGUUCUGGGCCGCACGCGCGCUGCACUGAUGAAUUCAACGAGCUCCUAACCUAGGCCGAAGGGUCCGGGUAAUCUUUGAAAUUUCAUCGUGAUGGGGAUAGAUUAUUGCAAUUAUUAAUCUUCAACGAGGAAUUCCUAGUAAGCGCGAGUCAUCAGCUCGCGUUGAUUACGUCCCUGCCCUUUGUACACACCGCCCGUCGCUCCUACCGAUUGAAUGGUCCGGUGAAAUGUUCGGACCGCGACAAGGCGGACGGUUCGCUGUCAGCUUUGCUGCGGGAAGUUCAUUAAACCUUAUCAUUUAGAGGAAGGAGAAGUCGUAACA
rnacentral:rRNA from 1 species